rnacentral:rRNA from 1 species
CGUAGCAAUUGCUAUCUGUAGUUUGCGAACUUCUCUUAAGAGUCGUGUUGCUUGAUAGUGCAGCACUAAGUGGGUGGUAAACUCCAUCUAAGGCUAAAUAUAACCACGAGACCGAUAGAGAACAAGUACCGUGAGGGAAAGUUGAAAAGAACUCUGAAUAGAGAGUUAAAAAGUACGUGAAACCGUAUAGGGGUUAAGCCCGUUGAAUCUAAAUAUCCGAUGGAUGAAAUUCAGUAUUGUUGAUUGUUGACUUUUUUGCUUGAUGAUCAUACAGUAUGCACUUUUCAUCUAGUAGGACACUGCAAUCUGUUAGAUUAAAUAUAAUUAUUACACAUUAUAUUUGAACCUAUCAAUAGAAUUUGUAUAGAUUGUUUAUCUGCUACAGUACUAAUAAUACUGUGCGAUAAAUCUAUUUAGAAUUCUGAUAGUGUUUGACUGACAGAUUCAUAAAAAUC